ACACACUAAAUAGGACAGUCAAAAUACAUCUAGAAGGGGUAAGAUACAGUAGGAGUGGAUUCUCAUCUUUAAUGUCAUGGGACUGUUGUGUUCGGGCUUUGUUUUGCUGCUAGCUAUUAAGUCAAUAGGAGGAAUAACCAUCACUCAGAAUGAUCAAGUUAGUAAAACUCAAGUGAUAACUCAACGGGAUGAACAGGUUACUUUAAAAUGCAACCAUGAUGAUGGCAGCUAUUAUUAUAUGUACUGGUACAGACAGCGAAGUCAAGGUGAACUUAUCCUUGUUGCUAUUUCUGUUGGAAAAGGCAAUAAAGAAAUAGUUUCCCCAUUCACAGAAACAAAAUAUAUAAUGCAACGUCCUGACAUUAAAGAAUCUUCGCUGGAGAUCAAGAAUCUAAUAGAAGAGGAUUCAGGAAUUUAUUUCUGUGCCUCAAGAAUUGCACAGUAACUUAACUUAGCCAGAUUCCUGAGCAAUAACCUCAACCUGAGCCACAAAGAUCAGAGAGAAAAUACAUGAGAAGCAAGCUUGUUGUGGGAUAUACUAUCUUUGAACUCCUUUAUCAUAUGGCUAAAGGAAAUAAUUAAAUAAAAUCUAAUAUGUACACACACACACACACACACACACACACACACAUAUAUAUAUGAUGUCUAGGUGAAAUGUAAAAUGCAUGAAAUGCUGCACACAAAACCUUUAUUUUAUUUUAAAUGGCAAGUUAAAAAUGCAGAACAAACAAGUUUAGAUGUUCAGAAGUUGCCUAUUCAAAAUAAUGUCUAUUAUUUUCAUUUGUGCAGGAACAUUAUUUUUUUCUGAUCACAUUUGAUUAAGACCAUCAAUCGUCAUCUACAAAGCACAGCUCCUCCUCUCAGAGUCAGCUUGUUAGCUUACUUUAUUCUAGAGCUCAUCGUGAUCUGGCUCAAUCUGGAAGAUGAGGAACAGCCGCAUCUCAGUACUUCUCCUGAAAUGGCUCCUUAUUGUGUGUCAAAGUCAGACAUCAGCUCACAUUGUGCUUCAGUCAACACGAUUCAUGUCUGUGCUACCAGGAGAUGAAGUGACUUUAGACUGUAGCAUGGCAGCAGGAGUUAGGAUGUCUAGCUAUAUUAUGUACUGGUACAAGCAAGACCAUUAUGGGGAACCUAUACAGUUAAUUAUAAAAGAGAAUGACAAACCAACACAGAACUAUGAAGCCAUUCUAAACACAAAUGACAACAGGUUCAGCCUGAAGGUAUCCAAAGUCACUGCACAGGACAGUGUUACAUAUUACUGUGCUGCAGGGCACAGUGAAGCUAGAACUGUGCACACUCUAACAAUAAGCGUGAUAUAAUUGACACCUGGAGUUAGAGAAACUUUGCUGUAAGGAUGCUAGUCACAGCCUCAAACGUCACGCCCACAGGCUGCUGGCUUCUGAAUUCUACAGGAUUUCUGGGAGACUUGUGUCAUGUUCUUUAAUUGUCCACGUGGAAACCAAGCCAUUGUAAUGCCAAACAUGUAAGAAGAAGGCCAUUGUGACAACGAGCGCUUAUCAAGAUCAACUAACGCUGGAUUCGAAAAAGUAUGCGAAAUUCACAGCACCAUUGUUGCGCCACAGUUGCAGUAAACUCACACAAUGUUCUUGAAUGAAUUGCACUGUCGGUCAUCGACUUUAUACUUUCUCACCCCUAAACAUGAUGCUGAACAAAGCAAACUAUGAUUGGUUGCUUUACAUCAGGCGUCCUCUUGGGCAGUCCUUGGCCAAUGAAAGCUACAGUGGAGUCCAGACCUUCCUUCAUUUGUCUGAAGGUCUGGCUAUGUGAGACUAAAGCUAUCCUGGUUGAGGGCCGUUGUUCCUCCAGUGCUUAUAAGACACUGAACAUUUAAUAACCCAUUGGCUGCAGGGUUGGGGUGCUAUAAAAAAAAAGUAGCAAUGAUAAUAACCCUUUCACUGGCUUUUUAUUCCAGAAUGUUUAGUGGCAUGACAGAAGCAAGCUACUUUUGAGUCUCCAGUGACAAUUCUUUCAAAAUUCCUCUUUAAGUCCAAAUCCUCUAUUCAGAUUCACCUUUUUAUUUAUGUAUUUAAAAAACUUAUUUUAUUUAGGGCUGUCCCUGACUAAAUAUUUUUCUGGUUGACUAGUAGUCGUUUAUCUGAAGCAUUAGAUGACUAAUCGCACGUUUAUUAAUAAACCAUUUAGAUCAUAAUACUGAGCCUUUAAUUGCAUAU